GGGGGUGACCUGGUUUCGACGUGGGUCACGAAACCUCUGGGGCAUGCCGAGGUGCAGAUCUCCUCGUAAAUCCAGCUGCAAACUUAUAGUUGCCAACAACGACAACUACGCCUUAGCGGCUUAAUCCCCGCUAACCUUUCGCCUACGUUUCGCCUGUGGGCCGGGAUCGAAAGGUCGAUUACACAGGAUCGCGCCGGCUCGUGCCUGUUGAGCAAGCGUUAAAUCCAAGCAGGCUCAGCUCAGCAGUGGUCCUGUCUGCCGGAACACGCUGAGUCAAAUCAAAGACAGACUACGCAUGUAGAACCAUAGAUGUAGGGCUUGCGGACGCGGGUUCGAUUAACACAUUGGUCGCCUCGACUC
rnacentral:tmRNA from 1 species